rnacentral:rRNA from 2 species
AACGAACGCUGGUCGCAGGCCUAACAAUGCAAGUCGAGCGGCCGUAAAGAUACGGCAGCGGCAGACGGGACAGUAACACGUGGGAACGUACCCUUCGGUUCGGAAUAACUCAGGGAAACUUGAGCUAAUACCGGAUACGUCCGUAAGGAGAAAGAUUUAUCGCCGAAGGAUCGGCCCGCGGCUGAUUAGCUAGUUGGUGAGGUAACGGCUCACCAAGGCGACGAUCGGUAGCUGGUCUGAGAGGAUGAUCAGCCUCACUGGGACUGAGACACGGCCCAGACUCCUACGGGAGGCAGCAGUGGG